rnacentral:rRNA from 1 species
UACGUAGGUGGCAAGCGUUGUUCGGAAUUAUUGGGCGUAAAGGGGUGAGUAGGCGGUUUGUUAAGUCGGUCGUGAAAGCCCGGGGCUCAACCCCGGAGGGUCGACCGAUACUGGCAGGCUAGAGUACAGAAGAGGUAACUGGAAUUCCCGGUGUAGCGGUGAAAUGCGCAGAUAUCGGGAGGAACACCGGUGGCGAAGGCGGUUCUCUGGGCCUGACCUGACGCUGAGGAGCGAAAGCGUGGGGAGCGAACAGG